UUUAGUUGAGUGGUAAAUUAAAGAUUUUACUAAUGCAAUCGAUGUGGUUUUUAUUGUUUUUCUUUUAAAUGAAAAAUACUUGAUGGGCGUCGAAACCACCAAAAAUAAUUCCUACAAAAUAACUUUAAUUAGUAGUAAGAGUGGUAGUAGGGUCGAGUCCACGGGGAUUGGAUGCUUUAGUCAACUUCCGUGUAUAGCUUAUGAUCAUAGUGUUUGUCGUGUUGAAGGUCGUGGCAACAGUCGUGCCCACGAUGCCAAUCGUACCUGCAGAAAAUAAAAAUAAAAGUAAAUUGGGGGAUUUCGAAAUGUCUAGAAAUUAAAUAAUUGAAAAAACAUAAAUAACUAAUUAAAUAAAUUAGAAAAUAAAUUCAAAAUUUUUGCAAUCAGAUAAAAUAAGCCUUAGCCUUAGACUCGGUAAUUUCGUAUCAAGAAUCGAUCCUCGAAAAUUAAUCUUCUCCUCCAAUCGAUAAGCUGGUUAUAGCAGCUAAGAACGUCCUAACCACCAAUUCUUCCUCUCAUAGCUGGUUCUGGUACGACCUGCAAACCAACCCUUACCAAUUAUCUAACCGGGAUACACGUGUUCCCGAUUCAAGAUUCCGGCAGCCUUGCAUUUUGAAGAACCCAAUUCAAAUUAACGGCCUCAACCGCGUGGGUCGUUUAAAUCCAAUCACUUCUUUCUCGAUUUGUUCUCGGAGAUCCGAAUACAGCAUGACCGGCUCAUUUCUCCAACUGUCAGCUAACACGACUCCAACACAACGUGCACUUUUUGACUUGUAAUCGAGUUAACCUUAAGGGAUGAGUUGUCAAUCCCGAUACUUAGGAAAAGAAUGAAUAUCGAUUGAACGGAUUUUAGCACGAAUUCGUAUCUCACGAUUCCCGACCGGAAAGAACACCGGCCUAAAGCUAAGAUAAAAUUUAGUUAAGCAUGAAUUUAAUCAUGCUUUGUAUGUUGUGGAAGGUGAUUGAGGAUAAUGGAAGAAUUUAGGGAAUGGAAAGACUUGAAAGGCAAUUAGCUCAAUUUAUAAAAGCAAGCAAAAUGCCAAUGGGAAUAGCAGUCGCUCACGUCAAUGCCAAAGAAAAAAGAAAGAACAAUUCUAUUCCAAAUUGGAGUAGGA
rnacentral:lncRNA from 1 species